UUCGGUCCCUAUCUGCCGUGGGCGCUGGAGAACUGAGGGGGGCUGCUCCUAGUACGAGAGGACCGGAGUGGACGCAUCACUGGUGUUCGGGUUGUCAUGCCAAUGGCACUGCCCGGUAGCUAAAUGCGGAAGAGAUAAGUGCUGAAAGCAUCUAAGCACGAAACUUGCCCCGAGAUGAGUUCUCCCUGACCCUUUAAGGGUCCUGAAGGAACGUUGAAGACGACGACGUUGAUAGGCCGGGUGUGUAAGCGCAGCGAUGCGUUGAGCUAACCGGUACUAAUGAACCGUGAGGCUUAACCUUACAACGCCGAAGGUGUUUUG
rnacentral:rRNA from 1 species